CCCAGACUCCUACGGGAGGCAGCAGUGGGGGAUAUUGCACAAUGGGGGAAACCCUGAUGCAGCGACGCCGCGUGUGGGAAGACGGUCCUCUGGAUUGUAAACCACUGUCCCCAGGGACGAAGAUGACGGUACCUGGGGAGGAAGCUCCGGCUAACUACGUGCCAGCAGCCGCGGUAAUACGUAGGGAGCGAGCGUUAUCCGGAUUCACUGGGUGUAAAGGGAGCGUAGACGGUUACGCAAGUCUGGAGUGAAAGGCGGGGGCCCAACCCCCGGACUGCUUUGGAAACUGUAUAACUGGAGUGCAGGAGAGGUAAGUGGAAUUCCUAGUGUAGCGGUGAAAUGCGUAGAUAUUAGGAGGAACACCAGUGGCGAAGGCGGCUUACUGGACUGUAACUGACGUUGAGGCUCGAAAGCGUGGGGAGCAAACAGGAUUAGAUACCCCUGUAAAU
rnacentral:rRNA from 1 species